GGACGCUUCCCACGGGGCCGGCGGGGCUACGUACCCCCAAAGGGCCCCUCCUACUGGUUUCAAACGGAAUCAAACCCCGCUCUCCCGGGCCAGGUUCGGCUUCGCAGCAGCCGGCCAGGCCGAACCGGGUCGGACUUGUCCUCCCUUCCCAGCCCCCUGCGCAGGGGGCCUCCCUCCCUCCCUCCCUUUCCAGCAGGUGGCUCCGCAGGACACCAGCUCAACCUGUUGGACCACAAUGGGCGGCGCCAGGGGGCCCUGGCCCUCACCCGGGCUGACCCGGGAUCCCCGAGCAGGGGGAGGGGCGGAGUCGGUCCUUCCCUCCCUCUUGCUCCUUCUCCCUUUGACGUGACUCAGCCUCGAGGCCGCUGCUCUGCCCCUCGGCCAGGGGCGGAAAGUGUGAGGCGCCCCGGAGGGCUGAGGCCAAACCAAACAGCCCCCCAUCCCAGACAUUAUCUCACUGGAGAAUUAGGGGGGCAAUAGGGACCAGUGGAUAGCAGUCGGCAUGGUUAGCUCUGGCUCAAGUGAUCCGUUCCGGGUUUUCCUAUAGUUUCUGUCCUGUCCCCCCCCCCCCCCCCCGCCAGGGUCAAGUCUGAUCUUUGCUCCAGGUUUUCUUAGCAGCCCCACCGGACUGUUUCCAGUCGGGAGGAUUCCGAGCAAGAUGUGCCUGGGCUGGGUUUUUUCCCUUCCUCGCUGUCAGGGUCUCGCUGAGCAGGGAGGGAAUGGGCCAUGCCAGGGGCAAGGCGGCAGUGGAGAUGCCCAAGUUAAAUGGAGAGCAAGCUGUUUUCAGGAGAAGGGUACAGGGCCAGGGAAAGGAUUUGGGGGAGGGUAGGACAGUGGUCCAGGACUCCAGAAGGACGAGAGUCUUGUCACUUAGCUCCUGAGGACCCAGACGCGGACAGCUCUGCUGUCCCCUGCCCCUGGAGUUGCAUCUGACUGGACACAACCCGGAUCUUUUGCGCCUGGAUUUUGCCAUCCUCCAGCAGUCCUGGAAAUCUACUGUUAGUUCCUCAGUGACUCUUUUCCAUGCUUUUCUUGUGGCACAAAUAGUUCCCUUUCAUGUUAGGGGGGCACCGACUUGAAAUUCCUGCCUACUCCCUAACUCUGGCCCCUGACUGCCAAACCAGAGACAGAGAUGGCCAAGGAGCAAUGGUGGGACCCCGCCCCCUUCUAGGGAGCCUGGCGCCCCCCCAUGCCAAUCUGCUGUCCACCUGAACUGGUACUGGGAACUGGAAGGCCAGUGUGGGGUCCGCAGGGGGUUCCGGGUGAGCGCCCUCCCCUCCCCCGUCCUCACUCUCAGACUUAAAUCUUCAGGCAACUUUCUAGAUUCCAGACUUUAAUGUAGGAGGAAAGUAGGUGAGCAAACACCCCGAGAGGAAGGCGUUAGUCCAGAGAAGGAUAAUAGCCCUCGCAAGAAGGACUUUACACCCCAGGCUGGGGACAGGGACUCUGAGCCUGGCUGGUCCAAGUACACUGGAGAAGUGGCUCCUGAGAGGGGACAAGGCUUAUUAGAGUCCUGGAGGAAGAGUGCAGUUGGCGGCUGGAGGCGAGGCUCUCCUUGGCAGGGGUCCUAAAGUACUGAAUUGUAAACAUGAACUGCCACACCCAGCUUGAAGUAGAUGUUUGUGAGAAGAGACAGAGCAUCAUCUACUCUACAAAGUGUGUCCGGACUGUGACGUGUCUCCACUAAGGCCUUUCCAGCUGCUGCUCUCCUUGGGCCUCUCAGUCUUUAGUCCUUCCCUUCCACCAGCUCCCCACUCCCUGUCCCACCAGAGCGCACAGCCGUGGCCUCUGCUCCUGCGUCCACCACUGCCCUAGGAGCCUGCCAAGCAUCCUCUCCUCUGGCAAAAGCCUUGGUGUUCAGACCUCAGACUCGGGGGGUCCACUUCUAGGCACUGCCCAGCUUAAAUUGAGCAGGACUUAGAGGAAAAGGAGGCAGCGGGCCAGGGCUGAGUUAGGGAGGGUAGGAGCUGGCCAGGCAGGAUGCACUCUAGAGGAAGGAGAGCCCCCGGUCAGUGGGAAGGUGGACUCUCAGCCCGCGUGAGUCAGACCUGGAGAGGGAAGGCUCAGAAGGAACCAGGCGGCAGUUCUGACCUGCAUGUUUCAGGUGUUUAGAGGGGUCCUGAGCAGAUAUGGUGGCUUAUCCUUCUAAUCCCAGGACUGGGGAGGCUGAGGCAGGAGGAUUGCCACAAGUUUGAGGGCAGCUAGGAUUACAGAGUGAGAGCCUGACUCAAAAAUCAAAUCCAAAGCUCAAGCUCUAACUUAUCCUACGUGUCUUGGCUUAUAUUCACCUCCAGAUCGUUUUCCUGUUUCUCCAUCACCAAAUAAUGUCUGUAUACUUAACUACAGUGAUGGGGUUUCCCGCCCAGGAGAAUACAGGCUCCACAGGGUCUUGCUGUGUUCGCCUAGGCUGUUCUAUAACUCAUUAUGGAGCAGCUGGCCUUAAACUUACAGUCCUGCUUUAGCACCCUGAGGGCGGGGGAUACAGGCCCCGAGGCUCCAGCACUCUUCUGACCCAGGCUUGGAUGAGGUACACACACACACACACACACACACACACACACACACACACACACACACACACGGCAAACACUCCCUAGGCUAGCCUCCAGUUCCUGAGCUCAGAUGAGGCCCGGCCACUGCCUUGCCCGACUGCUAGGACUGCUACCAGGUCAUAUGACUUCUGAAAAGAGCUUGAGAGCUGGGGGUUUUGAGUAGGUAUUUCUGGAACCUUAGCUCGGGGGGGGGGCUUACCUCUGCACAGCUGCGUGGAAGAGGUGUAGGAGGGCAGUGCAGUCCUUGCCACCAUUGAAGCCCACACAGAGCUUGGAGAGGUGGUAUCUAUCGAGGGCGGUCUCAAUGGUCUGCAGGGCACUGGCUACCUUCUUCCCCAGAGAAGAUCCUGCCAUAUACGCAGGGAAGAGAAUGUCAACUAGGUCCAACCAGAUCCUCGUCUCGCAGGUUUUUGUCAUUUGUUCAAGGACCCUUUUCUCUGACUCAAGAUCAAAGCCACCAUCUCUGGGCUGGAAUCCGCUUCGGCCUCAUAUCUCACCGACGAUCGCCUGUUUACGGCUAACCCACUGGUCGAACCACUACUCAAGGGUUUUGAUGGCUGCUUGGAGCUCAGGGUGUGGUUUGAGCUCCUCCCCAAAGGCCUGCGCCACUGCCUCAAACGUUACAUCGUCAUGAGUGGGGCCGAUGCCUCCUGCGGUGAGGACAUGAGUGAAGCGGCUGGAGAAGGAGGCGAUCUCAGCUGCAAUGGUGGCUACCUCAUCGGGUACAACAGAGACUCGGCAAACCUGGACCCCCAGGGAGCGCAGUGUCCGGCACAGAAAAUUUGGUUGUCAAUUCUGCAGUUUGAUCCUGACACCUCACCUAUAUUUGUAAACUCAAUCAUUAAUUCUGUGUGGCUCUUUCGACUUCUCACCAACCCCAACAGUUUCAGUUUUCGUCCCUGGCUUCAAGUGCCUGCCGGGCAGUCUCACCACGUCCCUGGGGAUUGCUGUUUGGCAUCAGUGGCAUCCCAGACACUGCCCAUGGCCAGUCAGGUCUUUUAUGUUGUCAACUCCACUUCUGAAAAUCCUCAGCACCUCCUCUCUUUGCGGUUUUCAGUUCCUUUAGGCUGGGCCUUAGCACCUUUCCCCUGGACAAAGCUGACAGCCUCCAGCACUACGCUCCAUUCCCUGUCCUCUAAGGAACCUUUCUAAUGUGCCACUGUGGUCACUGAUCACUUCUGUGCUCAAAAACACGUGUUGUUUCCAACUGCAUACAGAAUAAAGUUCAAAGUCUUUUGCAAUCAUUAAA